rnacentral:tRNA from 4 species
GCCUGGGUAGCUCAGUGGUAGAGCAGAGGACUGAAAAUCCUCGUGUCGUCAGUUCAAUUCUGACCCCAGGCACCA